AUGAGGGGACAUCCUCCACAAAUAUUGGGAAUUAUGGUCUAUAAGAGGACAUAAGGGAUAACCAUUUCUUUCAUCCAAAACACUAAACACAAAAUUCCACUAUCUCUUUCUCCACUUGUUGAGUUCGGCCGAAACCCAACACCCACCCACCAUCACUUUCAAGUUUGAUUCUUGUAAUUUUUCAUAUACACAAGGGUGAAGGGUCACACACAAGGAGGCUUGGUGCUUACGGAAUCACAAGGACCUCACUACAUCGCUAUUAACCAUCCAUUUUUCGUCUAGUUUCUUCCCUAGCCUCGAGCUAGUAGUUACGACGUUAAUUAAGCAAAUCCGGUGAAGUUUACGACGCACAGGAACGCAAAGUUGUGAGUUCAUGCUCCCCCUUUUCUCUUAACCGUUUUCAGUUUUAUAACUUCGGGGGUGAAAUACAUGUUACAAAUAUUUUUAUGUUUACAAAUGGUAUGAUAAAAAGAAACACACUUGGUGAGAACGAGUACCAAGUGUGAUGAGAUAUAAGAAUACAAGAAGCGCGCUUGGUGAGAACGAGAACCAAGUAGGAUGCGUUAUGAGAAAUGAUACGAGAAAUCGUGUCACGAAUAGGGUACAUAAGCACCAUUAAUCAACAAUAUACCUAGACCGCAGAACAAAAGGUUAGAUCUAACGGGUGCCGGGCAGCCACACUCUCGGUGAGGGCGAGAAUCGAGUAGUGCUUUUGUGUCUCAGAAUAUACCAAUUAAAUGCCUAAGGUUUGGUGACUUCCUAUGUCGUGUCACAUGUUAAUGGCUUUGCAACCCAUUAACAAUCCUGAUACUUACAGGAAUACUUUAUUUACAUAAAAUUCAUACCAUACUAAAACUUGAUGAAUACUUGAGUACGUGGGGUACUCAAGAAAAGCUUGAAUUAUACUUGAAGUACGUGGGGUACUCAAGAAAAUGGGAAUUAUACUUGAGUACGUGGGGUACUCAAGAAGAAUUUGAAUUAUUCAUGAGUACGUGGUGUACACACGAAACUGGAUUUAUAUAUAUGAAAACUUGAUUUAUUUACAAACUAUGUUUUCAUACAAAGUAUACAAACGUGAAAUACAAAACUGCAUGAAUUCACACCAACAUUAUGUUGACGUUUUUCCAAAACUCACAUGUAUUUCAGGUAACUAGGAUGGAUGUGCGCGUGAUCUUACUUAUGCUCGUGGAUGUCGCUUAUGUUUAUCUUUAAAUAAAGUUGUAAACUUUUAAGACAAUGUUUUAUGCGACCUAGCGAUGUAAACGCUAAACGUAUGUUUCAAAUUAUGGUAUUUGAAGUUAUUUUCAUGAGCAUGUAGUAUGUUUACCUUUCGUAU
rnacentral:lncRNA from 1 species